AUUACCCUUGUGAAGAAUUUUGUAGCUAAGUAGCUUGAGGGUUUUUUUUUUUUUUUCACUCAGGAAAGACAUGGUAUGUAUGCAUCACUGCUAUUCUAUUUGAAGCUUUUGGAAUUUUUAUUUAUGGGGUGUGGAUAGAGGCUGGAGGCAGAGACUGAGGUCAGAGAAGAGGUAGUAGAAAAGAAGGUGGCCCACUACCAUAUUUCCAGUGUAUUUAAAUGGGAGAUA
rnacentral:lncRNA from 1 species